GGUGACGAGUGGCGGACGGGUGAGUAAUGUCUGGGGAUCUGCCCGAUAGAGGGGGAUAACCACUGGAAACGGUGGCUAAUACCGCAUAACGUCGCAAGACCAAAGAGGGGGACCUUCGGGCCUCUCACUAUCGGAUGAACCCAGAUGGGAUUAGCUAGUAGGCGGGGUAACGGCCCACCUAGGCGACGAUCCCUAGCUGGUCUGAGAGGAUGACCAGCCACACUGGAACUGAGACACGGUCCAGACUCCUACGGGAGGCAGCAGUGGGGAAUAUUGCACAAUGGGCGCAAGCCUGAUGCAGCCAUGCCGCGUGUAUGAAGAAGGCCUUCGGGUUGUAAAGUACUUUCAGCGGGGAGGAAGGCGAURUGGUUAAUAACCKYGUCGAUUGACGUUACCCGCAGAAGAAGCACCGGCUAACUCCGUGCCAGCAGCCGCGGUAAUACGGAGGGUGCAAGCGUUAAUCGGAAUUACUGGGCGUAAAGCGCACGCAGGCGGUCUGUUAAGUCAGAUGUGAAAUCCCCGGGCUUAACCUGGGAACUGCAUUUGAAACUGGCAGGCUUGAGUCUCGUAGAGGGGGGUAGAAUUCCAGGUGUAGCGGUGAAAUGC
rnacentral:rRNA from 1 species